rnacentral:lncRNA from 1 species
AAGAAGGAGAAGGAGAAGGAGAAGAAGAAGAAGAAGAAGAAGGGAAAGAAAGAAACAAAAAGAGAAAUGAAUGUAGCUUUAUCUGAAUGAAAUUCAAGCAACCCUUUCUGGGCUGAUGAACACAUCCCUGUGCUGGGAAGAUGGCAGGCUCCAACUCCACAGGGACAGAAGCUCCUGUGCUUGGGAUCCUUCCUGACUUCAUUCUCAAUCUCUCCAGGUUGUGUAUCAGAUGGGGAUGUGUCUGGUUGUAUCACUUUUGGAAGGGCAGCUUAUCCCUCUUGGGCAUGAAGCAAGUCCUUGAGCACCAAUUGAUUCAUGAGUAAAAAGAAAGGCCGAGAUGUUAGAAGUAACCCACAACUGUGAAGAAAACUAUGGAUAUCAAGGGAUGGGCAAGAUCAGAGAGUGUGGCAUUGAAACUAGUAGGUAUGAAAAAGACUCAUGGAUUUCUGUCUUUGAAAUCUAAGGUAAAAAUAAAUGAAAAUCAUAACCAUUAAGGACUGAAAAUCGAACCUAGCUGUUUCAUUUCUUUAAAAGCAUACUCAAUGCAACUAUAAUAUCUACUUAAAAUAAUACCAUACUUGUAUAUCAAUGGGUGGAAAUUUAAAAUAACUACAGUGUCUUACUUCUUCUUUGCUCUGCUUCCAGCAUGUUAAAAAUUGCUUAUACUUUCAGUAAUGUCUCUAAGCUGUGUAUAUCAACAGCUAUGGCACCUGGAUCAUUCAUCGUAACCUACAAAAUCUACUGCAGCCUCUUCCUCUCCCAAUUUUGCAAGAGUCCUGUACUGAACUCAGCUGUCUCCAGCAUGCUGAAGACUAUUUAUUACUUCACCUUCACUAUGCACAGCCUAAAGAACAACUGGUUCCUGUCCUGUCCCACUUCCUGGCCAUGUUCCUCUUGGUAUUUAGCAGUGACUGUUCUCCUAGGGGCCAUACUGUGGCAUAUCCCCUAUGCAGGAGCAGAGAAAAUCCUGCCACCAAAUGCGAGUAAAGAAAUGCCUUCAGAACUACAACUUGGUCAAGACCCUACAGCUCUUUUAUCAGGCC